rnacentral:rRNA from 1 species
UACAGAGGGUGCAAGCGUUAAUCGGACUUACUGGGCGUAAAGGGUGCGUAGGCGGAAGGAUAAGUUAGUUGUGAAAGGCCUGGGCUUAACCUAGGAACUGCAAUUAAAACUGUCCAUCUAGAGUUGAGUAGAGGGGAGCGGAAUUUCCGGUGUAGCGGUGAAAUGCGUAGAUAUCGGAAGGAACAUCAGUUGCGAAGGCGGCUCUCUGGACUCAAACUGACGCUGAGGCACGAAAGCGUGGGUAGCGAACAGG